CAAUUGCUGCACUCUCCCUCUUCCAAGCAAAUAGAUUCUCUCUCUGCACUACGCAGCAGCUGCCUGAGGAUGGGGAGGAGUGGCAUUAGCAAUUCGAGACUGUCUUUUUUACCUCUUCAAUGCCUCUUGCAGCGAUAUGAAAUUAAAACCAGCUUUUGUCACCAUCACAAACUUCUGCAGCCUUGGCCACUGAGGCAAUCACAGGCAUCACUGAUGAGGAUGAUAGCUGAAGAAACUGCAACUGCAUAAAGAUCACAUCACUGAAUCUACCCAGAACUACAGCCAAUGCAUGAUACCCACUUGACAACCUAGGACCUCUCUACAAGAAAAAGUCUUUCUCUAUGAAAGAUAAUUCAUAAAAUUUUAAAAAGUAACUCUUCUACUAGAUGCACAGAUAUUAAUGUAGGAACCCAAAAACCAUAAAAAGCAAGGAAAUAUGACACCUUCAGAGGAUUAUGUCUCUAAUCAAAGACCCUGAAGUGAAAGAUAUUUAUAAAAUGCCUGAAAAGAAAUUCAAAAUAAUGCUCUUAAGGAAACUCAGUGAAAUACAAGAUAAUACAGGUAGACAAUUCAAUAAAAUAUGGAAGACAA